AUUGAACGCUGGCGGCAUGCUUUACACAUGCAAGUCGAACGGCAGCGCGGGCUUCGGCCUGGCGGCGAGUGGCGAACGGGUGAGUAAUGCAUCGGAACGUGCCCAGUAGUGGGGGAUAGCCCGGCGAAAGCCGGAUUAAUACCGCAUACGACCUGAGGGUGAAAGCGGGGGACCGAAAGGCCUCGCGCUAUUGGAGCGGCCGAUGUCGGAUUAGCUAGUUGGUGGGGUAAAGGCUUACCAAGGCGACGAUCCGUAGCUGGUCUGAGAGGACGACCAGCCACACUGGGACUGAGACACGGCCCAGACUCCUACGGGAGGCAGCAGUGGGGAAUUUUGGACAAUGGGGGCAACCCUGAUCCAGCCAUGCCGCGUGCGGGAAGAAGGCCUGCGGGUUGUAAACCGCUUUUGUUCGGGAAGAAAUCCUCUGGGCUAAUACCCCGGGGGGAGGACGGUACCGGAAGAAUAAGCACCGGCUAACUACGG
rnacentral:rRNA from 1 species